rnacentral:tRNA from 1 species
GUUAGUGAAGCAAAUUCGGUAAUGCUAAAGGCCUAAGCCCUUUCAUUAGGGGUUCAAAUCUCCUCUCUAACU